ACAAUACUUUUUUGUUAAAAGCAUUAUUUUGCACAGAGAGGCAACAAUAUACUAAAUCUUUCUACCUAAGGAAGUUAACCUAGUUUUUUUCCCUUUAAAAAAGGUAUUGAAAGAAUCCUUGAGAGAUACUUGACUGAGAGGACUAAAGGCUCUAGCUCUGGCAUCACUUCCUGCUCAUCAUCACCUGAGUAUUAAAAGAAAAAACAAAAACAAAACAAAAACAAAACUCCAGGCACUUUUCAUUGCUUGGGUGAUAGACCAUCAUGAGCAAUUUAGAGUCAAAAGUGACUGAAUUUACCUAGUGUGUCUGAUGUAUAUCAUUGUUGAAUAUCAUUCUCAUGGAAUGGCUAAGUAAAUCUUUUAUUAAAUGUUAAGUGACAAAUUGUCUCCUUUCAUUACAAUAUCAGACAUAGACUCUCAGGGUACUGGCCUGAAUUAAGAGUAACCCAGAACAUUAAGGAAGCCAAAACCUACUCUAAGAAGCAGAAGGACCUACCCCCGCCGAAAUCAGCUUUGUUCUAAAUCCAGACUGGUUUUGAAUGACUAGUGGAACUACUUGGAAAGGAAAAGGGACCUGGAUGAAGAAAUGCCAGGGCCAAUUAAUUGACACUGCUGCAAGCUUUUCAUGACUCUAUAUCAGCUACAUAAUGGCAG
rnacentral:lncRNA from 1 species